GCGGAUGGAAAAGUCUUUACGCUCGACCUGUU
rnacentral:scRNA from 1 species